rnacentral:rRNA from 1 species
AAGGUGGGGAGUGACGUCAAGUCAUCAUGGCCCUUACGGCCUGGGCUACACACGUGCUACAAUGGUCGGUACAAAGGGUUGCCAAGCCGCGAGGUGGAGCUAAUCCCAUAAAACCGAUCGUAGUCCGGAUCGCAGUCUGCAACUCGACUGCGUGAAGUCGGAAUCGCUAGUAAUCGUGAAUCAGAAUGUCACGGUGAAUACGUUCCCGGGUCCUU